rnacentral:antisense_RNA from 1 species
GGGCGCUUAGACUAUCUGUGUUUAAGCGUUGCCUAAAUGCAGAUAUGAAAAAGCCCCGAAUGAACUAUAAAUUCAAACGAGGCCUACUCAUGUUUCGCAACUUGAUAAUAGCCUCUUACUUAAUUGGAGGCAAAUUUAUGUCGAAGAAA